rnacentral:rRNA from 1 species
CGCCUUGCCAGCCCGCUCAGAAACUCAAAGGAAGUUGACGGGGGCCCGGCACAAGCGGCGGAGCAUGUGGAUUAAUUCGAUGCAACGCGAAGAACCUUACCUGGGUUUGACAUACACCGGAAAACCGUAGAGAUACGGUCCCCCUUGUGGUCGGUGUACAGGUGGUGCAUGGCUGUCGUCAGCUCGUGUCGUGAGAUGUUGGGUUAAGUCCCGCAACGAGCGCAACCCUUGUCUUAUGUUGCCAGCACGUGAUGGUGGGGACUCGUAAGAGACUGCCGGGGUCAACUCGGAGGAAGGUGGGGACGACGUCAAGUCAUCAUGCCCCUUAUGUCCAGGGCUUCACACAUGCUACAAUGGCCAGUACAGAGGGCUGCGAGACCGUGAGGUGGAGCGAAUCCCUUAAAGCUGGUCUCAGUUCGGAUCGGGGUCUGCAACUCGACUGCGUGAAGUCGGAAUCGCUAGUAAUCGUGAAUCAGAAUGUCACGGUGAAUACGUUCCCGGGCCUU